UACGAAGGGGGCUAGCGAUGUUCGGAAUUACUGGGCGUAAAGCGCACGUAGGCGGAUAUUUAAGUCAGGGGUGAAAUCCCAGAGCUCAACUCUGGAACUGCCUUUGAUACUGGGUAUCUUGAGUAUGGAAGAGGUGAGUGGAAUUCCGAGUGUAGAGGUGAAAUUCGUAGAUAUUCGGAGGAACACCAGUGGCGAAGGCGGCUCACUGGUCCAUUACUGACGCUGAGGUGCGAAAGCGUGGGGAGCAAACAGG
rnacentral:rRNA from 1 species